AGCUCAUUGACCUGCAGUGCAAUUCUGAACUCAAAGCCAAGUUCAGGGAGGUGAGUGGAAAAACAGACAAGCUUGGACAAUUUUUGAGAGAAUUGACCCCCAGCUUCCCUGAGCUUUCCCGAAUGUUCAAGAGGACCAUGUGCCUUUUUGGGAGCACAUACUUGUGCGAAAAGCUCUUCUCCACCUUGAACUAAGUCCAAGUACAGGUCCAGACUUACUGAUGAGCAUCUUCAAGCCCUACUGAGGGUCUUAACUGCUUCCUCCCUCAAGCCAAAUGUGGCUCGGCUAUGCGAGAAGAAGCGCUGCCAGGUCUGUAGCAGCAAGAAGUAGGCAAGAGAAGCCAUGUUCAGAACAGUCCAUUGUCAAUGUUCCAUUCAUGUUCAGAAAGUUAAAGGUUAAAGAACUGUUAAUACAGACAUUUGAAUCUGAAUAUUAAAAUAAUUAGAUUUCUCUGGUCAGCAACUAUAUGUGCUUUCUAUAUCUGCUGUAUUAUUAUUAUUAUUAUUAUUUUAUUUACUUAUUACUGAUUGAUUUAUUUUCUUAUUAAUUCUUAAUUCGUUUAUUUAUUUUUUCAUCUUAUUUUGUGUUAAAAAAUAAAAUAUUUGAGAACAUUGGAAUGUUUUUAUCAGAGCUUUUCUUGUGGAAAACUUGAUGCGGUCCAGCCUCACCCAGCCUCUGCCUCCAGCAGCCCCCAGGUAAACUGAGUUUGAGACCCCUGCUCUAAAGUAAACAGAUGAGAACCCUGACAACUGAAUUUCCCUUCAGGGAUAAAUAAAGUGAUUCUAUUCUAAAAGCUGUGUUCCCCUCAUUCCACUGGUAGAUUACCAUUCGUAAUGUAGUCUUUUUUUCUUUUGGAGCAAAACACUGGAAAUACUUUAAGUCAUGCAGAGAGACAGGUAGACAGGUAGACAGACAGGUAAACAGGUAGACAGACAGGUAAACAUGUAGACAGACAGGCAGACAGGCAGGCAGGUAGACAUGAUGGCAACACCUUUGACCAAUCGCACUUUUUGCACUCACUACAGGUUUUUCCUUAUGUCUGAAUUCUUGCUUGUGUUGUACGUGGCUUUGGGAAAAAGCAUCAGCUAAAUGAAACUGUAGAAAUGAGGAAUUGUAGACAGACAGGUAGACAGGUAGA